AGAAAGAGAGAAAGAGAGAGAGAGAACGAGAAAGAGAGGAAGUGUUGUGAAGGGAGGGAAGAGAGAAAAGUUGUUCUCUAAUUUUUUUUUUAUUUUUUUUUUAUUUUUUUUUUGUUUUUAUGUUUUAAGUAAGAAGAGAGAAAAUAACAAUAAUGAUCUGCAACAACAAGGGGGCAAUUAGAUCGCUUCUUUUCAACAAAAGAAUAAAGUGUCACAGAAAUAAUAAUAAAAUUAUUGUUGA
rnacentral:ribozyme from 13 species